CACCCGAUGGCUGAAAUAUAAGUUUAGGUCUUUUAAACCUAUCAUAGUAGUUUUCUACUUCUGGUGA
rnacentral:tRNA from 1 species